CAGGCUGCGCUGCCCCGGCUCCAUGUCUGGAGAGGAAGGCAAGGAGGGUCAAGCCAGGCAGGCUGACAAGCCCUUCUGCCCGUGCCUGCUCACCCAGCACUGCAGUGCCCUGGUUCAGCGUUGGUGCCUGUGUUCCUGGCUCACGCGGGAGUGAAGAAGCCCUUGGGCAGUUGUUGAAGGAAAGCAGCAGGGAGCUGUUGCUGCAUCCCAGGACCUGGUACAUCCCUUUCGGGUUGGGUACCCACAAUGGCUCUCGGUUUGGAGGUACGGAGCAGCUCUCUGUGCAAUACCUUCCCAAAGGCACCCUAAUUCAAGGUAAGAUGGAGGGUUUUUAAAUCCCCCUGCAGUACAAAUACAAAAUAAACCAAAUGCCAGCA